GUCUGGGAACCAUGACUAGAAUGAAUGAGCUGAUGGAAAAGGCCUGUACACUGACUAAAUGGGGAUACAGCGGCAGCAUUGAUGCCUUGGUUGGAGACUGGAGCCUGGUAACAAAAAUUCAAAGUGCUGAAAGUCUGAUUUUGAGUCCUGAGAGAAAAACGAUUCCUUAGGGAGAACUAGGAGUCACGUUUACUCUUUUAGGGAUAUAAGAAUUCCAUGGACAGAAGACUAAUCCAAAUCCUAGAUGGACGGCACUGGCAUGGUCACCUAGUAACUACAAGGACAUUAAAGAGCCAGUUCCUGAGGAUUAUUUAUGACCUGAGGCAAGUUGGCCGACUUGGUGUGUCAGAUGGCAAUCCCCAGGACAUUCUGGAUGUGAAGAAAAAUGACUGUGAAGAAAAAAGAAUGUUACGCCAGAGAGUAACUUCCUGGGACUUCCUGAACUGAUGGACAUGCUGAACAUGCUCCAGCGACCAGAGAACGCCUUCAGACAGACAGAUGUAGGAAGCAGCUUUUAAGGAAAGUUUCCACAGGUGAUCUCUAGGAGGGCUCCAGAAUAUGUAGGAGAGGAAAUAAUGGUGUCUGAUAUAGUGUAAUCCUUACCAAAAAAGAAAAGAAAUCCUUACCAAAAAAGAAUAGGA
ensembl:lncRNA